UUCGUGACGUUGUGGUAGGGGUGAGGAGAUAUCGUCAUUAAGACAGGGAUCCCAGAUGGCUUUAUGAACGAAGCAUGUAUGGGAUAUUUGAUGGAUGGUUUUGUUGUGACGUCAACCAAUUGAAUUCCUCAUAUACGAGUGGAGUUUACCUUAUACCAAUGGUUCGAUUGGUAUCUAUUCGUGACCUCGGGAUGUUGUGGUAGGGAUGAGGAGAUAUCGUCAUUAAGACAGGGAUCCCAGAUGGCUUUAUGAACGAAGCAUGUAUGGAUUAUUUGAUGGAUGGUUUGUUGUGACGUCAACCAAUUGAAUUCCUCAUAUACGAGUGGAGUUUACCUUAUACCAAUGGUUCGAUUGGUAUCUAUUCGUGACCUCGGGAUGUUGUGGUAGGGGUGAGGAGAUAUCGUCAUUAAGACAGGGAUACCAGAUGGCUUUAUGAACGAAGCAUGUAUGGAUUAUUUGAUGGAUGGUUUGUUGUGACGUCAACCAAUUGAAUUCCUCAUAUACGAGUGGAGUUUACCUUAUACCAAUGGUUCGAUUGGUAUCUAUUCGUGACCUCGGGAUGUUGUGGUAGGGGUGAGGAGAUAUCGUCAUUAAGACAGGGAUACCAGAUGGCUUUAUGAACGAAGCAUGUAUGGAUUAUUUGAUGGAUGGUUUGUUGUGACGUCAACCAAUUGAAUUCCUC